rnacentral:rRNA from 1 species
ACCGCAUAAUGUCUACGGACCAAAGGGGGCUUCUGCUCUCUCCUUUAUAUUGUCCCCCGUGGGAUUAUCUAUUUGGUGAGGUAAUGGCUCUCCACGGCGACGAUCCCUAUCUGGUUUUAGAGGAUGAUCACCCACACUGGGACUGAGACACGGCCCACACUCCUACAGGAGGCGGCAGUGGGGAAUAUUGCGCAAUGGGCGCAAGCCUGAUGCGCCCCUGCCCCGCGUGUGAAAAAAGCCUUCUGGUUGUAAAGCACUUUCUCUCUCGAGGAAAGGUUAUAAUUUAAUACCUGCUAUCUGUGACAUUACUGACACAAAAAACACCGGCUAACUCCCUGCCACCACCCGCGGUAAUACAGAGGGUGCGAGCGUUAAUCUCAAUUACUGGGCGUAAAGCGUACACACGCGGUUUGUUAAGCGAGAUGUGAAAGCCCCGGGCUCUAACUGUGAACUGCGUUUCUAACUGUGACACUAUAGUGUGAUAGAGAGUGGUAGAGUUUCACGUGUAUCGCUGAGAUGCGUAUAGAUCUCAAAGAAUACCCAUGUCGAAAGCGCCCACCUGUGUCAACACUGACACUCAUGUGCGAAAACGUGUGGAGCACACAGGAUUAUAUACCCUGGGAGUCCACGCCGCAUACGAUGUCUACUAUAAGCUCUCAACCUCGCGUCUGUUUUUCUCAGCUAUCGCAUUUUGUAGACCGCCCUGGGGAGUACACGCGCAAGGUUAUAACAUCUCAUGAAGAUGACGACGGGGGCCGCACAAGCCGCUGGAGCAUGUGUGUUUAAUA